rnacentral:ncRNA from 1 species
UAAUUGAAGAGUUUGAUCAUGGCUCAGAUUGAACGCUGGCGGCAGGCCUAACACAUGCAAGUCGAGCGGAAACGAAGAGUAGCUUGCUACUCUGGCGUCGAGCGGCGGACGGGUGAGUAAUGCUUGGGAACAUGCCUUGAGGUGGGGGACAACAGUUGGAAACGACUGCUAAUACCGCAUAAUGUCU